GAUGAAGAAUGUAGCGAAAUGCGAUACGUAAUGUGAAUUGCAGAAUUCAGUGAAUCAUCGAGUCUUUGAACGCACAUUGCGCCCCCUGGUAUUCCGGGGGGCAUGCCUGUCCGAGCGUCAUUGCUGCCCUCAAGCACGGCUUGUGUGUUGGGUCUCCGUCCUCCUCCCGGGGGACGGGCCCGAAAGGCAGCGGCGGCACCGCGUCCGGUCCUCGAGCGUAUGGGGCUUCGUCACCCGCUCUUGUAGGCCCGGCCGGCGCUUGCCGACACAUCAAUCUUUUUUCCAGGUUGACCUCGGAUCAGGUAGGGAUACCCGCUGAACUUAAGCAUAUCAAUAAGCGGAGGA
rnacentral:misc_RNA from 1 species